UGAAGUGGAGGAUUUGUAUUUUGAGUAGGCUCAGAGUAAAAAUUUUGAGUUGGGUUUUGAAAAUUUUGAAAAGGAGGUUUUUGAGAAGAUGCAUGUUAAGAGGGAUAGCUUGAUUUCCAUGUAGAUUGAGAUGCAUUCAGUGCAGGAGGUUAGUCAAUGAAUUAACAUCCUCCUACUUAGAAGUCAUCAAAUUCAAAAAUACAGGGCAAUGGUUUUCAU
rnacentral:lncRNA from 1 species